rnacentral:rRNA from 1 species
CACGUAGGGUGCGAGCGUUGUCCGGAAUUAUUGGGCGUAAAGAGCUCGUAGGCGGUGUGUCGCGUCGGCCGUGAAAACCUGCAGCUUAACUGUGGGCUUGCGGUCGAUACGGGCAUCACUGGAGUUCGGCAGGGGAGACUAGAAUUCCUGGUGUAGCGGUGAAAUGCGCAGAUAUCAGGAGGAACACCGGUGGCGAAGGCGGGUCUCUGGGCCGAUACUGACGCUGAGGAGCGAAAGCGUGGGGAGCGAACAGG